rnacentral:rRNA from 1 species
AUGGACGACCUCAAGCAGAUCCUGGCGCGCCCGAUCCAGCUGGCGGAGCAGGUCAUCAAGUGGUCCGACGAGGCCUACACGUUCCGGCAGGAGUGCGUGGAGCUCAAGGCCAAGGUGGAGCGCCUCGCCGCGCUGCUCCGGCAGGCGGCCCGCGCCGACCUCUACGAGCGCCCCGCCCGCCGCAUCUUCGACGACACCGAGAAGGCGCUCGACAAGGCGCUGGCGCUCGUCGACAAGUGCCGCGCGCACGGCCUCGUCCGCCGCGUCUUCACCAUCAUCCCCGCGGGCUCCUUCAAGAAGAUGGCCAACCAGCUCGACAACUCCACGGGGGACCUCUCCUGGCUGCUCCGCGUCUCCGCAUCCUCCUCCGCCGGCGACGACGACUUCGACAUGCACAUCGGCCUGCCCCCCAUCGCGCAGAACGAGCCCAUCCUCUUCCUCAUCUGGGAGCAGAUCGCGGUGCUAUACACGGGGAACCUCGACGCCCGCGCCGACGCCGCCGCCAGCCUCGUCUCCCUCGCCCGCGACAACGACCGCUACUCCAAGCUCAUCAUCGAGGAGGACGGGGUGCCGCCGCUGCUCAGGCUCGUCAAGGAGGGGCGGCUCGAGGGACAGGAGAGCGCCGCGCUCGCCAUCGGACUCCUCGGACGCGACCCCGAGUGCGUCGAGCAGAUGGUGCUCGCCGGGGCAUGCGCCGCCUUCGCCAAGGUGCUCAAGGACGCCCCCAUGAAGGUGCAGGCCAUGGUCGCCUGGGCCAUCUCCGAGCUCGCCGCCAACCACCCAAAGUGCCAGGACGCCUUCGCGCAGCACAACGCCAUCCGCCUCCUCGUCGGCCACCUCGCCUUCGAGACCGUGCAGGAGCACUCCAAGUAUGCCAUCACCUCCAAGUUGUCCAUACACUCCGUCGUCAUGGACAAAAAGAACAACGGCAUGCCCGACUUGCUCGAGGAGCAUCAGCAUAGCACAGGGAGGCACCCUGCUGCUGCAAAUGCUUCCCAGGGCAAGAACGAGAUGCACAGUUUGGUCCAGUCCACCAUGGCCUCAAAGUCCAACUCCUCCAACUCCAACGGCGGCAGCAGCAAGGGCGGUAACGGCGGGGGUGCUAUCGCGUCAAAGCAGCAUAAUGCAUCGCUCUCAGGGACAACCACAAGGGGCAGGGAGUUCGAGGACCCCGAGACAAAGGCAUACAUGAAGGCCAAUGCUGCCAAGGCUCUGUGGCACCUCGCCAAGGGCAAUGCUGCUAUCUGCAAGAGCAUCACCGAGUCAAGGGCUCUUCUCUGCUUUGCGGUUCUUCUGGAAAAGGGGGAAGGUGACGUGCAAUACAAUUCUGCGAUGGCUCUGAUGGAGAUCUGCAGUGUCGCCGAGCAGAACUCCGACCUGCGACGGUCAGCAUUUAAACCAACCUCUCCCGCCGCCCGUGCUGUUGUUGACCAGCUCCUACGCGUCGUCGAGAAGGCCGAGUAUGAUGACCUCCUGAUUCCCUGCAUUAUCUCAUUGGGCUGCCUGUCCAGAACCUUUCGCGCAACAGAGACUAGGAUCAUUGGUCCAUUGGUGAAGCUUCUUGAUGAGAGGGAAGCAGAUGUCUCCAAGGAGGCAGCAAUGUCCCUUACCAAGUUUGUGUGCACAGACAAUUACCUGCGCGUUGACCAUUCUAAAGCGAUCGUCGACGCGGGUGGCGCAAAGCAUCUUGUUCAGCUCGUGUAUUUCAGCGAGCAGGCGGUUCAGCUGGCAGCACUCACCCUUGUAUGUUACAUUGCACACAAUGUCCCAGACAGCGAGGAGUUGGCACAAGCGGAGAUCCUCACGGUGCUCGAAUGGGCCUCCAAACAGGCAUACAUGAUGCAAGACCCGAUGAUCGAGAACUUGUUGCCAGAGGCGAAGAUCAGGUUGGAGCUGUACCAAUCCAGAGGCGCAAAGGGCUACUAUUAG